CUGAGGUCUAGAAAAAAUUAUGGAACAACAAAUAGAUUACUUUUUAUCCCGGAAUUCCCGCGGAAUCGGGAUUUAUGCGGGAAAAACCGCAUGUUUACCGCGCU